GUGUCUAUGCCCUUCGGACUCAAGAGUGCCCAAGCCACCUACCAACGGUGUGUACAGAAUUGCCUGCAUAAACAAAUCGGCCGCAAUGUGCACGCCUAUGUGGAUGAUAUUGUAGUAAAGUCAAGGCAGAAGGAGACGCUGGUGGAUGACUUGAAGGAAACCUUUGACAACUUGCGGGUUUACAAGAUGAUGCUUAAUCCGGCCAAGUGUGUCUUUGGUGUUCCGGCAGGCAAGUUACUGGGUUUCCUGGUGUCUAAUAGAGGAAUUGAGGCUAAUCCGGAGAAGAUUGCAGCUAUCACCUCCUUGGCUAAACCGAAGUGCAUCAAUGAUGUUCAGCGCUUGGCGGGCCGAAUCGCCGCACUAAGCCGGUUUAUCAGCCGCCUCGGAGAGAAGGCCAUUCCUUUGUACCAAAUGCUGAGGAAGACA
rnacentral:rRNA from 1 species